rnacentral:rRNA from 1 species
UACGAAGGGUGCAAGCGUUACUCGGAAUUACUGGGCGUAAAGCGUGCGUAGGUGGUUCGUUAAGUCUGUCGUGAAAGCCCCGGGCUCAACCUGGGAAUGGCGAUGGAUACUGGCGAGCUAGAGUGCGGUAGAGGAUGGUGGAAUUCCCGGUGUAGCGGUGAAAUGCGUAGAGAUCGGGAGGAACACCAGUGGCGAAGGCGGCCAUCUGGAUCAACACUGACGCUGAGGCACGAAAGCGUGGGGAGCAAACAGG